CCUACGGGAGGCAGCAGUGAGGAAUAUUGGUCAAUGGCCGAGAGUCUGAACCAGCCAAGUCGCGUGAAGGACGACUGCCCUAUGGGUUGUAAACUUCUUUUAUAUGGGAAUAAUAUGUUCUACGUGUGGCAUUAUGCCUGUACCUUAUGAAUAAGCAUCGGCUAACUCCGUGCCAGCAGCCGCGGUAAUACGGAGGAUCCGAGCGUUACCCGGAUUUAUUGGGUUUAAAGGGUGCGUAGGGGGUUGUUUAAGUCAGUGUUAAAAUUUGGGGGGUUAACCUUUAUUUGCCAUUUAUAAUGGCAGACUUGAGUGCAGAAGAGGUGGGCGGAAUAAGUGGUGUAGCGGUGAAAUGCUUAGAUAUCACGAAGAACUCCGAUAGCGAAGGCAGUUCACUAGACUGCGACUGACGCUGAGGCACGAGAGUGUGGGUAGCAAACAGGAGUAGAUACCCCGGUAGUC
rnacentral:rRNA from 1 species